UCUCAUCCUCCAUUUCAUCACAUAAGUAGUCCAGAAAACAUCCAGUGCCUUGAGUUUCUAAUUCUGAGAAGUGUGAGCUCUAGUAGAGAGAGGAGAAGUGAGAAAUAAAGGAGAAAGUAGUAGCCUUUCUCUUCAGUGAAAUAAGGAAAAUUGGGAGUGAGAAAUUUCAGAAAGAUGUAGAGCUUGAUUAGUGGAGAUGCUGCCCAAUUAGAAGCAAGAAGGAUCCUCGGUCGGCCAACCACUAACCAUUCUCUAAUCCUCUCCGCAAGUUUUGUUUGUUGCAAGUUGAUUUUCAGGAUGAGCAAGUUUUUAAAGGUUGCCACCGGUGCGAUCUCGAAGAUAGGAUCAGGGAGCACGACGUGGAGUUCUUCAAGAGCUGCAUCUGAGAUGAGCGUCGACGACCCGUCGCCAUCGCAAGGCCCUGCAUAUCCUUCGACGCCCCGACAGCGAGUCCUCACCGAGCCAGCUAAGCUAGAACUAAGAAAUGAGUGUGAAAAGAACAUCUACAAGAAGUUGAAAGUUCGCUUUUGAUUGAUUUUUAGGCUACACCAACGAGCCAACGGCAAGCACAGUGAUCCGCAUCUGCAAGGGUGCCACACCAGUCUGCACCAGGAUGGGCUAAAGAUGGCCCUAAACUAGAAGAGCCAGCACACACUAGCUAUGACAGCUAGGGUGCAUGCAACUACCACACGCUGAGGAACCCGUGGGAGCAACAAACCACCAUGCAUGAAGGAGAGGAGCAGUGGCAGGAGCACCAGUACCACCAGCCCAGGGUUCCACUACACUCAGCAGCACCAUGAUGAGGAGUUGAUCUUCCAUCAGCGUACCGACAACACUCUCCGUACCAUCCAAGAACAACAAGAAAUUCAGCAAGGGAUGUUGUAGAACCAAGGCGAGAUGCUGGCCCAGAUUCAGCAAGAACAACAACGUGAGAACGACAACCUUGCGGCCUUGUUGGCCCAUUGGAACAUUCAGUGAACCGCGACAUCAGUCAGCUUGGGGGAGGCUGCCCCCAGUUAUCUAGACAACAUUUUUCAAAUGAUAUCACAUAUGGUAUCUAUCAUCAAGAAGGUGGUUUCACAAGUGAUCAUCAAGCAAAGCAAGUUGCCUCACCAACAGGAUUGACAAGUGAAUGACACAUGCUAUGACAUAGGGGGAGAUGCCCCACCAAAUGGUAUCUCAAGAUCAAUUCAAGUAAUGUCAUUCCAACACACAUUGUGAUGUCCAUCAAAAAUGCAAGAUUCAAACUUCAACCAUCUACCCCAUAUGCAAUCCUUCAUCAAAAUGAGGUGCAUACUCUUUAUAUUGGUAUCAACUGAUUUAAUUGGUAUCACACCCUUUAUGGAAAUUGAUGACAAAGGGGGAGAGAUUUGUACAAAGAUAUGAAAUAUUGGAAGUUGUUUUGGAUAUGGGUGUUUGGAGUUGUUUUGGAUAUGGUGGUUUGAACAUGGACUUGGAUAAAGAGGGAGCAACAUUAAGGAAAAGAGAUGGAUCAAAAUUCUUGGACAAGAGAAGCACACAAGUAGGGGAGCAAGCUCAUGAGUUUUAAAUUCAAUAUGCAUGCUUGUGUGGUGUAUGCUAGUUAUAGAACUUGAAUGAUGAUAUGACAACUAGCAUGCAUAGGUUGGUAUCUAGACUUGUGUUUAUUAAGUAAAAACUAGACCCUUGCUUAUAUUGUUGAUCUCAUGGGGUUUCUAGUGUUUUUGUUGUCUAGCUACUUAUGGUGCUAAGGAUGGUGUACAUUGAAUACUUCAAAUGAUAUCAAAAUUGGUA